GGCAAGAUGGCCGAGCGGUCUAAGGCGCCAGACUCAAGAUCUCUGAUCUUACCUGAACAAGGUUUCUGGUCUUCGUAAGAGGGCGUGGGUUCAAAUCCCACUCUUGUCA
rfam:TPA: Aspergillus nidulans FGSC A4 chromosome I